rnacentral:tRNA from 1 species
GUUGUUGUGAUGCAAUGGUAGCGCCUCUGACUCGAGAUCAGAAAGCUGUGUGUUCAAAUCACGUCAAGGUCA